rnacentral:misc_RNA from 1 species
AUUACGAGCGAAGGAGACGCCAGGAUGCGUCUAUGGCGGAGCUAUGGCGGAGCUGGCGGCGGUGGUAGGCUGUGAUAAGGUUGCCUCCAAAGGCGACAUUAUAUUGAAUAUACUUAUACGGCUACUAAAACGUAAUGCUGGGAAAGAAGUCUUAAAAGAACUACAUCAUACAAAUGAUAAUGAUAAUGACCUAAUGAGGCAAAAAUUUUUGAAUUACGACAAAGAUUAGAAGCCUUUGACAGCGGAGGAGCAGAUAUAGAAGAUUUUGUAAAGUAGCAGCCGUUCUUUUCCAUAUAGGAGCAGAGUGUAAUUUUAGUAUUGAUU